rnacentral:rRNA from 1 species
GAUGAACGCUGGCGGCGUGCCUAAUACAUGCAAGUCGAGCGAACAGAUGAUGAGCUUGCUCCUCUGACGUUAGCGGCGGACGGGUGAGUAACACGUGGAUAACCUACCUAUAAGACUGGGAUAACUUCGGGAAACCGGAGCUAAUACCGGAUAAUAUAUUGAACCGCAUGGUUCAAUAGUGAAAGACGGUUUUGCUGUCACUUAUAGCUGGAUCCGCGCCGCAUUAGCUAGUUGGUAAGGUAACGGCUUACCAAGGCGACGAUGCGUAGCCGACCUGAGAGGGUGAUCGGCCACACUGGAACUGAGACACGGUCCAGACUCCUACGGGAGGCAGCAGUAGGGAAUCUUCCGCAAUGGGCGAAAGCCUGACGGAGCAACGCCGCGUGAGUGAUGAAGGUCUUCGGAUCGUAAAACUCUGUUAUUAGGGAAGAACAAAUGUGUAAGUAACUAUGCACGUCUUGACGGUACCUAAUCAGAAAGCCACGGCUAACUACGUG